GACGAACGCUGGCGGCGUGCUUAACACAUGCAAGUCGAACGGAAAGGCCCUGCUUUUGUGGGGUGCUCGAGUGGCGAACGGGUGAGUAACACGUGAGUAACCUGCCCUUGACUUUGGGAUAACUUCAGGAAACUGGGGCUAAUACCGGAUAGGAGCUCCUGCUGCAUGGUGGGGGUUGGAAAGUUUCGGCGGUUGGGGAUGGACUCGCGGCUUAUCAGCUUGUUGGUGGGGUAGUGGCUUACCAAGGCUUUGACGGGUAGCCGGCCUGAGAGGGUGACCGGCCACAUUGGGACUGAGAUACGGCUCAGACUCCUACGGGAGGCAGCAGUGGGGGAUAUUGCACAAUGGGCGGAAGCCUGAUGCAGCAACGCCGCGUGCGGGAUGACGGCCUUCGGGUUGUAAACCGCUUUCGCCUGUGACGAAGCGUGAGUGACGGUAAUGGGUAAAGAAGCACCGGCUAACUACGUG
rnacentral:rRNA from 1 species